GCAGUAUGCGAUGUUUUGUGGAUGGCAAAGACUUAUUCCUGAGGGAAUCGAUAUAGGGUAAAACGUUAGCAUAUUUUUUUCUUAAUUGAGGUAGCUAUGGCAACAAAAUGUUGUUCUGUAACAGUUAGAAGUCUGGCAGUGUCCUGAGUCAAAUUCUUUAUCUUUAUUUGAAAGGGAACCUCUUACUGAUUGUUUAAAGGAUGUUGAUUUGAUCCCACCUUUUAAUCGGAUGCUGCUGGAAGUCACCUUUGGCAAGCUGUACGCUUGGGCUGUACAGAACAUUCGAAAUGUUUUGAUGGAUGCCAGUGCCAAAUUUAAAGAGCUUGGUAUCCAGCCGGUUCCCCUGCAAACCAUCACCAAUGAGAACCCGUCGGGACCCAGCCUGGGGACCAUCCCGCAAGCCCGCUUCCUCCUGGUGAUGCUCAGCAUGCUCACCCUGCAGCACGGCGCAAACAACCUCGACCUUCUGCUCAAUUCCGGCAUGCUGGCCCUCACGCAGACGGCACUGCGCCUGAUUGGCCCCAGUUGUGACAACGUUGAGGAAGAUAUGAAUGCUUCUGCUCAAGGUGCUUCUGCCACAGUUUUG
rnacentral:sRNA from 1 species